GACGAACGCUGGCGGCGUGCCUAAUACAUGCAAGUCGAGCGGACUUUCAAGAAGCUUGCUUUUUGAAAGUUAGCGGCGGACGGGUGAGUAACACGUGGGCAACCUGCCUGUAAGACGGGGAUAACUCCGGGAAACCGGGGCUAAUACCGGAUAAUAUCUUUCUUCGCAUGAAGGAAGGUUGAAAGGCGGCGCAAGCUGCCGCUUGCAGAUGGGCCCGCGGCGCAUUAGCUAGUUGGUGAGGGAACGGCUCACCAAGGCGACGAUGCGUAGCCGACCUGAGAGGGUGAUCGGCCACACUGGGACUGAGACACGGCCCAGACUCCUACGGGAGGCAGCAGUAGGGAAUCUUCCGCAAUGGACGAAAGUCUGACGGAGCAACGCCGCGUGAGCGAAGAAGGUCUUCGGAUCGUAAAGCUCUGUUGUCAGGGAAGAACAAGUACCGUUCGAAUAGGGCGGUACCUUGACGGCACCUGACCAGAAAGCCACGGCUAACUACGUGCCAGCCGCCGCAGUAA
rnacentral:rRNA from 1 species